ACAGCAGCAGCCACGGUAAUACGAAGGGUGCAAGCGUUAAUCGGAAUUACUGGGCGUAAAGCGUGCGUAGGCGGUGAGUUAAGUCUGCUGUGAAAUCCCCGGGCUCAACCUGGGAAUGGCAGUGGAUACUGGCUCGCUAGAGUGUGUCAGAGGAUGGUGGAAUUCCCGGUGUAGCAGUGAAAUGCGUAGAGAUCGGAAGGAACAUCUGUGGCGAAGGCGACUAUCUGGGCCAACACUGACACUGAGGCACGAAAGCGUGGGGAGCAAACAGGAUUAGAUACCCGCGUAGUCCCUGUCUCUUAUAC
rnacentral:rRNA from 1 species